GAUGAACGCUGGCGGCGUGCCUAAUACAUGCAAGUCGAGCGAACAGACGAGGAUCUUGCUCCUCUGACGUUAGCGGCGGACGGGUGAGUAACACGUGGAUAACCUACCUAUAAGACUGGGAUAACUUCGGGAAACCGGAGCUAAUACCGGAUAAUAUAUUGAACCGCAUGGUUCAUUAGUGAAAGACGGUUUUGCUGUCACUUAUAGAUGGAUCCGCGCCGCAUUAGCUAGUUGGUAAGGUAACGGCUUACCAAGGCGACGAUGCGUAGCCGACCUGAGAGGGUGAUCGGCCACACUGGAACUGAGACACGGUCCAGACUCCUACGGGAGGCAGCAGUGGGGAAUCUUCCGCAAUGGGCGAAAGCCUGACGGAGCAACGCCGCGUGAGUGAUGAAGGUCUUCGGAUCGUAAAACUCUGUUAUUAGGGAAGAACAAAUGUAUAAGUAACUAUGCACGUCUUGACGGUACCUAAACAGAAAGCCACGGCUAACUACGUG
rnacentral:rRNA from 1 species